rnacentral:rRNA from 1 species
GAUCAAGCGACUAAGUGCAUCUGGUGGAUGCCUUGGCGAUCAUAGGCGAUGAAGGACGUGUAAGCCUGCGAAAAGCGCGGGGGAGCUGGCAAUAGAGCAUUGAUCCCGCGAUGUCCGAAUGGGGAAACCCACCUCUUUUGAGGUAUCCCUGGCUGAAUCCAUAGGCCAGCGGAGGCGAACCCGGCGAACUGAAACAUCUAAGUAGCCGGAGGAAAAGAAAUCAACCGAGAUUCCGCAAGUAGU